rnacentral:piRNA from 1 species
UGAUUGUGAUGAUGACAAUGAUGAUG